rnacentral:rRNA from 1 species
ACAUGCCUACAACAUAGCGUUAAUGCACUAGAUCCCAUUAGAAAUCUUCAAGUAAGCGCACUCAGGAUAGAGUAGUAUUGGGAUGGGUGAGCGCCUGGAAAUUCCUAGUGUUUUACAUGCC